UUGAAGAAUUUGAAGACUUGAACUUGCAGACUUGAAGAAUUUGAAGACUUCAACUUGCAAACUUGACAAAUUUGAAGACUUUAACU
rfam:Solanum tuberosum cultivar DM 1-3 516 R44 scf00115_98, whole genome shotgun sequence.